GACGAACGCUGGCGGCGUGCCUAAUACAUGCAAGUAGAACGCCGUUUCGCACGGGUGAGUAACGCGUAGGUAACUGCCCCAUAGCGGGGGGUAAAUAUUUGAAAACAUAGCUAAUACCGCAUACUGUGAGAUGGACCUGAGUUGUAUUAGCUAGUUGGUGAGGUAAAGUCUCACCAAGGCGACGAUACAUAGCCGACCGGAGAGGGUGGUCGGCCACACUGGGACGGAGAAACGGCCCAGACCCCCACGGGAGGGAGCAGUAGGGAAUCAUCGGAAAUGGAGGGAAGGCUGACCGAGCAACUCCGCGGGAGAUAAGAAGGCCUUUGGGUUUUAAAGCUCUGUUGAGCGAGAAGCGGUAACUAACCAGAAAGGGACGGCUAACUACGUGCCAGCCGCCGCGGUAAUUC
rnacentral:rRNA from 1 species